rnacentral:rRNA from 1 species
GACGUAGGGGGCGAGCGUUGUCCGGAUUCAUUGGGCGUAAAGCGCGCGUAGGCGGCUGCGCAAGUCGGUUGUGAAAUUCCGGGGCUCAACCCCGGAACUGCGUCCGAUACUGCGUGGCUAGAGGUAGGUAGGGGAGAGUCGGAAUUCCUGGUGUAGCGGUGAAAUGCGCAGAUAUCAGGAAGAACACCCGUGGCUAAGGCGGCUCUCUAGUACGGUACUGACGCUGAGACGCGAAAGCGUGGGGAGCGAACAGG